rnacentral:rRNA from 1 species
AGAGUUUGAUCCUGGCUCAGAUUGAACGCUGGCGGCACGCCUAACACAUGCAAGUCGAGCGGUAGCAUGGGUAGUAGUAAUACUGCCUGAUGACGAGCGGCGGACGGGUGAGUAACACGUAGGAACUUGCCCAGAAGAGGGGGAUAACCAAGGGAAACUUUGGCUAAUACCGCAUAAUACUCGGAAGAGGAAAGCUGUUGAGAGUAAUCUUGAUAGUGCUUUUGGAGAGGCCUGCGUCUGAUUAGCUAGUUGGUGAGGUAAUAGCUCACCAAGGCGAUGAUCAGUAACUGGUCUGAGAGGACGGCCAGUCACACUGGGACUGAGACACGGCCCAGACUCCUACGGGAGGCAGCAGUGGGGAAUAUUGGACAAUGGGGGAGACCCUGAUCCAGCGAUGCCGCGUGAGUGAAGAAGGCCUUCGGGUCGUAAAGCUCUUUAGGUUGGGAAGAAGGUAGCAAGAUGAUGAAUUUUGUUGCUUGACUGUACUGACAGAAUAAGCACCGGCAAACUCUGUGCCAGCAGCCGCGGUAAUACAGAGGGUGCGAGCGUUAAUCGGAGUUACUGGGCGUAAAGGGCGCGUAGGCGGUGAGAUGGGUGUGUUGUGAAAGCCCUGGGCUUAACCUGGGAAGUGCAACGCAAACUAUCUGACUGGAGUAUAUGAGAGGGUGGCGGAAUUUCCGGUGUAGCGGUGAAAUGCGUAGAGAUCGGGAGGAACGUCGAUGGCGAAGGCAGCCACCUGGCAUAAUACUGACGCUGAGGCGCGAAAGCGUGGGGAGCGAACAGGAUUAGAUACCCUGGGUAGUCCACGCUGUAAACGAUGAGGACUAGAUGUUGGUAGGGGAACCUAUCAGUAUCGAAGCUAACGCGAUAAGUCCUCCGCCUGGGAAGUACGGCCGCAAGGUUGAAACUCAAAGGAAUUGACGGGGGCCCGCACAAGCGGUGGAGCAUGUGGUUUAAUUCGAUGCAACGCGAAGAACCUUACCUACUCUUGACAUCCUGCGAAGCCUGGAGA